AAGACUAUACUUUCAGGGAUCACUUCUAUAGUAUGUGUCUAGAGAAGUUUCUCUAAUCGUGUAGAGCACUUGAAGCCACAAGGAGGAGUCAGAGCGUCCUCUCCUGAGUGCGAAGCUGCCUUUAGGUGUUGCUUCUGCAACUGCCUUUGGCCAUUGAUGAUCGUUCUCCCUUUCCUCUGGAGAGGGUAUAAGGAGAGAAUGCAGUUUGAGUGGU